rnacentral:tRNA from 1 species
GCUCCCGUAGCUCAAUUGGAUAGAGCACCGGCCUUCUAAGCCGGGGGUUGCAGGUUCGAUCCCUGCCGGGAGUG